UCACUGUGAUGAUUGCAUUCCAAACAUUCGCAGUUUCCACCAGAAAGGACGUUCCUUAGUGUUGGCUAGUCCUUCCUUGGAUGUCUGAGUGA
rnacentral:snoRNA from 1 species